AUUAGCGAGUAUUCACUGACUUUUAAUGAUUUUUACUUCAGAAUUAGUGUAUAAUCACUAAACGAUCAGUGUAUUUAUUUCACUAAUUGGCAAGUUAUGUACCGCUGAAAUUAGUGUAUUUUUACUGAUUGUAAUUUAGAGAAAUUUUUUUAAGGAAAAUUUUAUAUUUUUUUAUCUUUUGUUGAGAGUCGAGAACAACAAGAUCAUUAUUGAUUGGUUCCAUAAAGAUACGUUUUCGGGAAGAUAUUUGUCGUUUUUCUCGCAUCAUCUCCGUUGUCACAAAAUAGGAACAAUUUAUAGUCUAAUAGAUAGAGCAGUUAUGUUAUCAGAUCCAUAUUUUUGGUUAAAAAAACCUCGAAUUUUGCAUCAAUAUAUUAUUGGACAAUGGUUAUCCAUUGAAUCUUGUUUUUCAUGAAAUUAAUAACAGACUUAAGAAACAUUUCAGUAAUCAAGUGGAACUCACAGACCGUCAAAUUAAUCAGGCUACAACGAAAAGUCAACGCAUAAAGAAAAAAUAUUUUGUAUUACCUUAUAUUAGACAUUAGUUUCGAAGUUUAACAUUUUUUAACACAGCUGGUUUUUAAUCGCGGUUAUAAUUAUAUAAUGUUUAUUGAAUAAAUUAUAUUGUUAUUAGUAAGAUUUGUCUUGGCUCGAUAUUGACCUGUUAUCGUAUUAUUUUUGUGUUAUAUUUUUUCUUAUAUAAUAUAUAUAUAUAUAUACGUAUAUAUAAUAUAAUAAUUGUUGACUUUUUUCAUGUACACGUCUUACUUUAUAUCGCGUUUUAUUUUAAUUACCCUCAAGUUAAUGUGUCAUUAAAUCAAACAUAUCACCAUUCGUGGAAUUAUAGGACGAUAUAUUUAAUGACUUUGAUGGUGGAUAAAUUUAGCGGUUCUCGUCGAUACUCGUGGGAACUGAGCGGCGAGAUCGCUAGAAAGUAGAAUACUAUAUAUGUAUACGUAAAAGCGAUAUUACACCCCAGUCGAAUUGUGGAGGCCGCAAUGGCGCAACAAUUGGAACAGACGCUACAAACUCCCUUAUCCAAGUUAUUACCGAAAUAUAUCUCCACUCGAUAUAUGUACACAUAUUUACCAUCGCUGAUGCAAAUAACACGCCACACAACCGUUCUAUUGUCAAACCGUGCAAUGUUACCGGAUCCAAAACUCCAUAAAUCAUAUGCUACAUGCCAGUUAAUCAUAAAUUAAUUAGUAGGUAACGGAAAUUAUUAUUAGCAAUUUUAUAAUUAGCGCCAUUUCAUUUUCGAAUCCAACAUUCCCAAUUUUAAGUCGUUAUUUUUCUUUACAUUUUUUGUUACAUUAGAUGAUAUCGUUCCAAUCGAAUUAUUUUGUUUCAUUCAAAGCUAUUAUAUGUAUAAAUUCCAAUCCAGGAAAAGGACUAGAAUAGAUAAUAAAGAUAAAUUAAAAAUCGAUUUUUAUUGCGCGAGAAAAAGUAAACUGAUGUUCCGUUACUCCGGAAAUUAUUCAUUUCCAAAAAGUUUAUUUCAUAAUCAAUUUAGAAGUGAAGCGCAUUUUUAGAUCAAUCGCUAAGUUAUCCCGUUUUAAAUGUAAAUAUGAAAAUUCCGACUUUGUUACUUUCAAAAUUAUAUAUCAUAGUCUAUUAUCUCUCUCUUUGUUUUAGGUGACAUACAAAAUUUCGCGACUUUAGUUAUAAAAUAUUCUACAACAUAAAAUAAUCAUAAAACAAAUACCGCACACAAAUACAAAAUUUUUAAGACAUAAUAAAAAAAUCUGUCCUUUUACCCUGCACGUUAUGUUGCAAAAACAAUACGUGAAUAAAUAUAUUUUUUAUAGAAGCUAUUGAUAUUUUUCAUUGUAACUCUAUUGAUAUCACAUGAACCAAUUUUAUGUAACGAUAAGAGUUAUGUAUUAUUACCGUAGAUCAAUGGCUUAAUUACUGACAAUGUCCUAAAUACUAUAGAAAUCAGAUCUUAAAUGCUUUUUUAAUUAGAAGAUUUCAAUUUUACUUUUAAUCAAAUUAUAAUAAGACCUUAAUAAUUCGCGUAAAAUCAAGUACAAUGUAUAAAUAAUUUAUAUAUUUAGAAAAAUCACAUUUAAGAUCAAAUUUCCAGUAUUUAGUGUUAUUUAAUAAUGUUUGGAUCUAUCGUUCGCAUUGUACGUAAGGAAAUUAAAAACAAGCAGCAUUGAUGUUUUAAGAUAGAUACAGAAACUUUAGAGAUUUUUCUUUAUUUAUAAGUAACACAAAACUAUUUUUCUCAGAUAGACAGCGCGAUGGAUACUUUUCACAUUGCGGACCGAUCCCGGACCCCGAAAGGCUCUCUCUUCCAUCCCUACGAAUACAGCCCUGGGACGCCACGGGGCUUAAUAUCUCUACGAGGGUAACAGAGAGGAUGGAAGAUAGGGGCGAUCUUACGGGAGGGAGUGCUGAUGUUGAACCAUAAGCGCGGCGAAGGGACCGUCGAAAGGAAGAGAGGAGAAAAAGAAAGGGAAAAAAGGGUACGAAUGUACUCAGACGGAGCUGCGCGCGAUUGCAUAGUGCCCAGCGACUUUAUCAACCUACCUUCUCCUGGUUACAAUUAUAUACGAACUUCAGACGUGACCGCUACGAGCUGAUAGCAGCGCUACUUGUCGGCUCCAAGAAGACAAAACGGGACGGUCGAUAUUAUCGGCAAGAAGAUAUUUAGAAAAUGAAAGACUUUGCAUUCCCCAAAAUUCACUAUCAAUAUUGAAAAUCUAUUAUAUACAUAGUGUAAAUUGUAAAUUUUACUGACAGUGUAUAUUAAUGCGUAAUCAAAAAGAAGAAACAAAAAUAUAAAACGUGUUUUUAUA